CCUACGUGUGGCAGCAGUGAGGAAUAUUGGUCAAUGGGCGCGAGCCUGAACCAGCCAAGUCGCGUGAGGGAAGACGGUCCUAUGGAUUGUAAACCUCUUUUGUCGGGGAGCAAAAGACGCCACGCGUGGCGUUCCGAGAGUACCCGAAGAAAAAGCAUCGGCUAACUCCGUGCCAGCAGCCGCGGUAAUACGGAGGAUGCGAGCGUUACCCGGAUUUAGUGGGUUUAAAGGGUGCGCAGGCGGAAGAGCAAGUCAGCGGUAAAAUUGAGAGGCUCAACCUCUUCGAGCCGUUGAAACUGGUUUUCUUGAGUGAGUGAGAAGUAUGCGGAAUGCGUGGUGUAGCGGUGAAAUGCAUAGAUAUCACGCAGAACUCCGAUUGCGAAGGCAGCAUACCGGCGCUCAACUGACGCUCAUGCACGAAAGUGUGGGUAUCGAACAGGAUUAGAUACCCCAGUAGUC
rnacentral:rRNA from 1 species